rnacentral:tRNA from 1 species
CCCCCCAUAAGUAAAAUUGUGAAAAUACUAGGGGAUUCAUACUUCUCAAUUACCAGUUGGUUGGGGGGA